CAGGGCUGAGGCCUCUGAGAAGGCAGAGCUGUGGUCUAGAAGAUGAGACUGCUAGGGCUUCUCCUGUGCCUGGUGACAGCCCCCCGAGGUGUCCUGUCCCAGGUGCAGCUGCAGGAGUCGGGCCCAGGACUGGUGAAGCCCUCACAGACCCUCUCCCUCACCUGCGCUGUCUCUGGUUACUCCAUCACCAGUGGUUCUGACUGGAGCUGGAUACGCCAGCCCCAAGGAAAGGAGCUGGAGUGGAUGGGGCUCAUAAACAAUAAUGGAGACACUUACUACAGCCCCUCCCUCAAGAGCCGAACCUCCAUCUCCAGAGACACAUCCAAGAACCAGUUCUCCCUGCAGCUGAGUUCCGUGACCACCAAGGACACAGCGGUGUAUUACUGUGCAGGCCCCACAGUGAUGAGAA